ACAAUUACCACGACGUUUACCAGCAAUCCACUCUGUCAUGCCUGGAUAAUCACCUUCGAGAUUACCUGGUUCUACCUGAACGAAGCAAUUAAAUUGCAUUUUCAUAUUCAAAUUGCUCUCUUUGAUGUUGAAAGUUGAAAUCUUUUAAGGUUAACAAAGAUCAAAGAGACGGUGAUUUAAGUAACAGCAAUCUGAAUAGAUACAGCUUAAAUUUUUUAGUAGCCUAAGCAAUACAAUCCAGAGCUAUACACAUCUGAUUCUUUAGUUAAUUCUCUUGUAAGUAUCUGGCUGUACAUAAAAUACCAAUUUCAGAGAUGGUGAUACAAAAUUCUAUCCCUUUCAGCUACAUAAAAAAUGUAUCAGAAAAAUUUUGGAUAUGCAAUGGUGGAUUUGGGGUUGAGAGAGAAGUUGGGGCAUUUAUGUUAUUUGUGGUCAAUACUUCUGGAGAACCUUAUGCUAGGUAACAAAAAGAAUUCUCAAAACAAAAGGUAAACUGGCUUGCUUUUGUUAGUCCCAAGAUUUUUUAUCCUACAGUUGAUAAUCAAAGAUUCUAAUCCAAUGGGUUUUAAUAUAAAGUUUUAACUGUUUAUUCUUUAUAGCACAUCCAUGUUUUGAAACAUUGAAGUCAAUCCCCUUUUAUAGUCCUUCUAUCUUAAAAUAAUCAAUUUCAUGUGCUAUUUCGCACUUCAUCAUAUUGGUUUGAUAAAUUGUACAUAUCUGAGGUACUUAUAAUACAUUCUGCCUAUUUUAUGGUUGGCUCUUUGAAAAUUGGAGCUGGGGUCUGUGACAUAGUGCUGGAUGGUUGCUUGGUUGACUUGCCUGGUUUUUAUUUCUGGCUUGGGUAUGUCUUGGCAAUCGGAGCUUUAUAUAGAAGCAGCAGGAUGAACGAAGUAGUAGUCCUGUACAGCUCUCCAAGGUAUAUAUAUUC
rnacentral:lncRNA from 1 species